AAAGCAGCCACCACCCCUGUCCUCCUAAUCGUACGGCCCAGCGGCGACAUGUCGUCGUCGUUCAAGCCCAACCCCCUCUCGCUGAGCGUACCGGACCCCGCUCUCGACCGCUGGCUCCGCGACUCCGGCUACCUCGACCUCCUCGACUCCUCCGCCCCCGCACCCGCCGCCGCCGCCCCAACACGCGCCAGCCCCGCAUCCACCUCCUCGGGGGCCGGCGCCGCCGCCGACCUCCUCGCCUUCGCGCGCACCCUAGCCUCUCUCCUCGCGCUCAACCCCUUUGCGUGCCUCUCCGCCGCCGACCUCGCCGCGCCCACCCCCUCCUGGUCCCUCGCCUUCAUCGGCGCCCCCGGCGUCGCCUCCUACUCCUGGCCCCCGACCCCCACCCAGGCCCGACUCCGCGUCCAGGAGAACGUCCGCCGCUACGCCCGCAACUAUGCCGCGCUAUCCAUCCUCGUCUUCGCCUGCUGCCUGUACCGGAUGCCUAUGUCGCUGCUGGGGUUGCUGGCAAGCCUCGCCGUGUGGGAGGCUGUGCGGUACUGCCGGAACCGGUGGGAGCUCGCCACACGAGCGCCCGGAAUUGGGCAGGCUCUUCUGCACUGUGCCCAGAUUGCCACUGCUGUACUACUAUAUGUAUGCAACCUGCAGUUUGCUCUUGUGUAUGCCAUUGGGUUGAGUUAUGCAGUCAUGAUGCUGCAUGCUUCUCUUCGGAAGUUGACUCCCUCAAGCCUAUCUGUUCCAGCAAAUAAGAAUAGGAGGGCACAACCAAGACGAAGCUAGUUGCCAUUGGAGGUAGGCUGCAGAUGGCAGGUACAUUGCCACGUCGUAGUACGGUGGAGCCACUGCCCUGAAAGCGAUUCUACACCUAAGAUCGUGUGCUCCGACUAUAUACGCCAUUCAAUCCUUCCACAGGGUUAUGUCAAAAGAUAUUGGCUGCAUGAGUUCGGAGACGGGGAAGACGAUUGCAAGAGUGAAACUGUAAGCACAGCGGAAUGUGGGAACAAUGUGUGCUUACAAUCCUAGGACUGUAAAAUCCAGUUUUGGCAUUAAAGAAUUUUUGGAAGAAAUUUCGGAGUUCUUAAUACAGUGUUGCUAAAGCACAUCUAGAUGUGCCAUAAGUAUUGCACUUAUGUCCUUGAUCUUGCACGGAAGUUUGUGUGGGUAAUAUCUUUUUUCUUUUUCUUUUUCUUUUCUUAAUAAGGCUGUUGGAAGCCAAUUGGGCCUCUGGGGUUUCCUCUCUACAGCCCUCUGCUUUGGGUUUUUCUCCUUCACGCUCCCUUGUCUUAGAAAUAAUGC
rnacentral:rRNA from 1 species